GGAGGUGUGGUGCAGCGGUGGAGCACCUGCCUACUGAGUCGGAGGCUCUGGGUGCGAGCCCCAGCACCACCG
rnacentral:tRNA from 1 species